UACGGAGGGUGCAAGCGUUAUCCGGAUUUACUGGGUUUAAAGGGUGCGUAGGUGGGUAGGUAAGUCAGUGGUGAAAUCUUCAAGCUUAACUUGGAAACUGCCAUUGAUACUAUUUAUCUUGAAUACUUUGGAGGUAAGCGGAAUAUGUCAUGUAGCGGUGAAAUGCUUAGAUAUGACAUAGAAUACCCAUUGCGAAGGCAGCUAACUACGCGAUAAUUGACGCUGAUGCACGAAAGCGUGGGGAUCAAACAGG
rnacentral:rRNA from 1 species